ACAUCGCGAUCGAAUUACGUCAGUAGGCAAUUACGAUAAUUCUAUUUUAACGAUCGGCCACUUAGCUCGGCUAGCUACAGAAAGCUCGGUGAUAUGCAGGUGAUGCUAUAACUAAAUUUCUUAUGUACCGAGUAAUCAAGUUAUUCGCUACGUAUUCGAAAUUCCCGUUAUACUCUUAUAAAUUUGUUUUCCAAGGACGAUAUAGCUUUUAUAUGUUGAACGCCGCUAUACCAUAUGGUAAAACUGUUUACUCUUUGUUUAUCUGGAAACACAACGAGGAUCAUAUUUUAAACGUUUUAUAAUGUGUAAAUGAAAUGUGAGAAACGUAUCACUACUUCUCGAUUAUCACCUUGCGGGAUAAUUAAAUACAAAUCAUUCAUACAAAAAGUUUAACGAAUUA
rnacentral:misc_RNA from 1 species